rnacentral:rRNA from 1 species
UACGAAGGGGGCUAGCGUUGCUCGGAAUCACUGGGCGUAAAGCGCACGUAGGCGGAUCUUUAAGUCAGGGGUGAAAUCCUGGAGCUCAACUCCAGAACUGCCUUUGAUACUGGGGAUCUCGAGUCCGGAAGAGGUGAGUGGAACUCCGAGUGUAGAGGUGAAAUUCGUAGAUAUUCGGAAGAACACCCGUGGCGAAGGCGGCUCUCUGGGACGGUACUGACGCUGAGACGCGAAAGCGUGGGGAGCGAACAGG